AUGUCCGUCCGUCCACCAGAUGGUUUCCGGAUGAUAACUCAAGAAGGCUUAGGCCUACGAUCAUGAAACUUCAUAGGUACAUUGAUCAUGACUCGCAGAUGACCCCUAUUGAUUUUGAGGUCACUAGGUCAAAGGUCAUGGUCACGGUGACCCGAAAUAGUAAAAUGGUUUCCGGAUGAUAACUCAAGAACGCUUAUGCCUAGGAUCAUGAAACUUUAUAGGUACAUUGAUCACGACUCGCAGAUGACCCCUAUUGAUUUUCAGGUCACUAGGUCAAAGGUCACGGUGACUCGAAACAGUAAAAUGGUUUCCGGAUGAUAACUCAAG